rnacentral:rRNA from 1 species
AUUGUCUGUACUGGUGAGAUGAGUCUCUACCUUCUGAGGAACUUUCAUGCCAUUUAUUUGGUGUGGUUGGAAAUCAGGACUGUUACUUUGAAAAAAUUAGAGUGUUUAAAGCAGGCUAACGUCUGAAUACAUUAGCAUGGAAUAAUGAAAUAGGACGGAUUGAUUCUAUUUCGUUGGUUUCUAGGGUCACCGUAAUGAUUAAUAGGGAUAGUCGGGGGCAUUAGUAUUCAAUUGUCAGAGGUGAAAUUCUUGGAUUUAUUGAAGACUAACUACUGCGAAAGCAUUUGCCAAGGAUGUUUUCAUUAAUCAAGAACGAAAGUUAGGGGAUCGAAGACGAUCAGAUACCGUCGUAGUCUUAACCAUAAACUAUGCCGACUAGGGAUCGGACGCAGUUAAUUUUAUAAUGACGUGUUCGGCACCUUACG